UACGUAGGGGGCAAGCGUUGUCCGGAAUCAUUGGGCGUAAAGAGCGUGUAGGCGGCUCGGUAAGUCCGCUGUGAAAGUCCAGGGCUCAACCCUGGAAUGCCGGUGGAAACUGUCGAGCUCGAGUCCGGAAGAGGCGAGUGGAAUUCCUGGUGUAGCGGUGAAAUGCGCAGAUAUCAGGAGGAACACCAAUGGCGAAGGCAGCUCGCUGGGACGGUACUGACGCUGAGACGCGAAAGCGUGGGUAGCAAACAGG
rnacentral:rRNA from 1 species